GAUGAACGCUGGCGGUAUGCUUAACACAUGCAAGUCGAACGGACUCUUCGGAGUUAGUGGCGGACGGGGGAGUAACGCGUGAGAAUCUGGCUUUGGGUUCGGGACAACCACUGGAAACGGUGGCUAAUACCGGAUGUGCCGAGAGGGAAAAGAGAAAUUGCCUGAAGAUGCGCUCGCGUCUGAUUAGCUAGUUGGUGAGGUAAAGGCUCACCAAGGCAGCGAUCAGUCGCUGGUGUGAGAGGAUGACCAGCCACACUGGGACUGAGACACGGCACAGACUCCUACGAGAGGCAGCAGUGGGAAAUUUUACGAAAUGGGCGAAAGCCUGGCGGAGAAAUACCGCGUGAGGGAAGAAGGCUCUUGGGUUGUAAACCUCUUUUCUUAGGGAAGAACAAAAUGACGGUACCUAAGGAAUCAGCAUCGGCUAACUCCGUG
rnacentral:rRNA from 1 species